rnacentral:misc_RNA from 1 species
CGGCAAAAGCUCAAAUUUGAAAUCUGGCACCUUCGGUGUCCGAGUUGUAAUUUGAAGAUUGUAACCUUGGGGUUGGCUCUUGUCUAUGUUUCUUGGAACAGGACGUCACAGAGGGUGAGAAUCCCGUGCGAUGAGAUGCCCAAUCCUAUGUAAGGUGCUUUCGAAGAGUCGAGUUGUUUGGGAAUGCAGCUCUAAGUGGGUGGUAAAUUCCAUCUAAAGCUAAAUAUUGGCGAGAGACCGAUAGCGAACAAGUACAGUGAUGGAAAGAUGAAAAGAACUUUGAAAAGAGAGUGAAAAAGUACGUGAAAUUGUUGAAAGGGAAGGGUUUGAGAUCAGACUCGAUAUUUUGUGAGCCUUGCCUUCGUGGCGGGGUGACCCGCAGCUUAUCGGGCCAGCAUCGGUUUGGGCGGUAGGAUAAUGGCGUAGGAAUGUGACUUUGCUUCGGUGAAGUGUUAUAGCCUGCGUUGAUGCUGCCUGCCUAGACCGAGGACUGCGAUUUUAUCAAGAUGCUGGCAUAAUGAUCCCAAACCGCCCGUCUUGA